rnacentral:misc_RNA from 1 species
ACGAAUAACUAUGGUGUCUUGGUUGUCGCUGGCUCCUCGGAGCAUCGUGCACGCCCGCCAUUUUUAUCUAUCCACCUGUGCACCGAAUGUAGGUCUGGAUGACUCUCGCCCUCGGGCGGAUGCGAGGUUUGCGUUCGCGUGCGAGCGCUCUCCUCGAAUUUCCAGGCUCUACGUCUCUUUACACACCCCAAACGUAUGAUGCAGAAUGUAGUCAAUGGGCCUUUAAAAGCCUAUAAAACACUAUA